rnacentral:lncRNA from 1 species
GUAUUUCGGUACAUGCUGAGCAAGUGCAUAGACGACGAUAAAUCAGCUUUGCACGAAAUGAAGAGGAGCGAAGCGCUUAAUAUCGGUAUUUGCCGAGCUGUGAGAACAUCUAAAUUUUUGAAUGGGUGAAAACAUCUUACAAGUUAACAUGCACAGGCUGUCCUGAGAGACUAUUAAAGGAGGAUUGUAAGAGAGGAAUAUGCCAACAAGAACUGCAAUGAGGAGUCAUUGACAGGAGGAAACUUUUUAAAAGAGACCACACACUACCUCAUCAACAUGCUUGAAGAUGAUCUGAGCCUGAAGAGGGACAAAGGGCCUAGUGAUAGACUACCUUUCUGCAAGUAUUGACAAUUCUGCUUUUGUAUGGUGAUAAUUUCAGGGAAUACGUGGUGAUGAGGCAUCAGUGUUGCAAUUAUCUGUUUGUGAGUGAUCAAAGAUGUUUCGCAAGCCAUAGCAAGAAGAAAGAGGUUUUGUGAGAACUUCAACAACAAGAGAUCUGAGAUUGAGGCUACCCAACAACAACUGUGUGAGUGAUCGAUUGGACCCAUGUCUAUACAAGAAUUCCUGGAGGGAAACAAGCCUUGUACUUUCCUGAAGGGCAAGUCCACCCCAACAAAAAGUUUCUUUGAUAUAAUACAGAAAAUUCCAAUGAGCAUAACACUAAACAUUUCAUCAAAAUUUGAUGUAAAAUGAGAAAGUGUUGACAUUUUGAAGUUUUGCUUAUUUUCACAAAACAGACAUCCUGGUCAGUAUGCAAAUGAGUGACAAAGUGACGUUCUCCACUCAGUGUUUCUUUUUGUAAUAUACUAGUAUCAUGAUUUUUUCCCCUCAUAAUGUGUAUAAAGUACAGGUGAGAUAUGGUUUGAUUUCUCCCUGAAACUUUUGUAAAAAGCCAUUGUGGCAACCUAUACUCAAUUCGAUGAAGAGUUUUCUCAUAAUUGUGAAUUCUGUAAAAAAUCAAGCAUUAUGAUAUAUUUCUACAGAAGAAAGAGUGAGUGUGUGAUACUGAUAUAGACUUGUUUGCAUAUCACCUGUUUUACCACUUGAUUAAUUAAUUUCUUAUUUUACAUCCUAUUUUGACAUUUUCAGUGCCAUGCAUGUUUUAUUUAUCUCUAUUCCAUUCACAUUAACUUUUUUUUGUACAGUGGACUUGCUCUAGAACAGGUAUUUUUUGUAAUGUACAAGUAAGAAUUUCAUUAUUUAUUUGUGUCUUUUUUAACACUUUUUUUCAGGGGUGGGGAGGGGGUUGAAUCGACCUCUCUUGAGAUCUCUGCCAAUGAUCACAUUAACGCCUUGAAAAUUGGAAAACACUAGCUUGGCCUGGCACAUGCACAUUUAGGGAGCAUGAAUGAAACAAAUUAAAAGGGCAAUUAAUGCAUUUUCUUGGAAAAAAAAAAUAAUUUCAAUUGACCCCAAAGGAUAACCUGAUGGCCUAGUUUGGGAAACCAGGUAGCCUAACAAGUAGAGCUCGACU